rnacentral:rRNA from 1 species
GUGCCAGCCGCUGCGGUAAUACAGAGGGUGCGAGCGUUAAUCGGAUUUACUGGGCGUAAAGCGUGCGUAGGCGGCUAAUUAAGUCGGAUGUGAAAUCCCCGAGCUCAACUUGGGAAUUGCAUUCGAUACUGGAUAGCUAGAGUAUUGGAGAGGAUGGUAGAAUUCCAGGUGUAGCGGUGAAAUGCGUAGAGAUCUGGAGGAAUACCGAUGGCGAAGGCAGCCAUCUGGCCAAAUACUGACGCUGAGGUACGAAAGCAUGGGGAGCAAACAGGAUUAGAUACCCUGGUAGUCCAUGCCGUAAACGAUGUCUACUAGCCGUUGGUCUCUUUGAGGGAUUAGUGGCGCAGCUAACGCGAUAAGUAGACCGCCUGGGGAGUACGGUCGCAAGACUAAAACUACAAAUAGAAUUGACGGGGGCCCGCGACAAGCGGUGGAGCAUGUGGUUUAAUUCGAUGCAACGCGAAGAACCUACCUGUCUUGACAUAGUGAGAAUCUUU